rnacentral:rRNA from 1 species
AGAGUUUGAUUCUGGCUCAGGAUGAACGCUAGCGACAGGCUUAACACAUGCAAGUCGAGGGGCAGCAUGAGGUAGCAAUACCUUGAUGGCGACCGGCGCACGGGUGAGUAACGCGUAUGCAACCUGCCCGAUACCGGGGUAUAGCCCAUGGAAACGUGGAUUAACACCCCAUAGUACUUUUAUCCUGCAUGGGAUGUGAGUUAAAUGUUCAAGGUAUCGGAUGGGCAUGCGUCCUAUUAGUUAGUUGGCGGGGUAACAGCCCACCAAGACGAUGAUAGGUAGGGGUUCUGAGAGGAAGGUCCCCCACAUUGGAACUGAGACACGGUCCAA